UACGGGGGGGGCAAGCGUUGUUCGGAAUUACUGGGCGUAAAGGGCUCGUAGGCGGCCAACUAAGUCAGACGUGAAAUCCCUCAGCUUAACUGAGGAACUGCGUCUGAUACUGGAUGGCUUGGAUUCGGGAGAGGGAUGCGGAAUUCCAGGUGUAGCGGUGAAAUGCGUAGAUAUCGUAAGGAAGACCAGUGGCGAAGGCGGGUCUCUGGACAGUUCCUGACGCUGAGGCACGAAGGCCAGGGGAGCAAACGGG
rnacentral:rRNA from 1 species